ACGUGCUCUGGGUUAUUACAGAAACUAAGAUCCCAGUUUACCCCCUAUUAAGUGGAAGACCUAGGACAUGAGGGGGAGGGAAUGUGCCAGACACUGACCACUGUGCUCCAAGUUCAAGGGAGGAAGAACCUGACAGCUGAGCCCAUUGUCAAUCAUGUUUUCCAGCUCCUGGGGCUCCAAGGAGGUGGCGACCACUGGUGAAACCAGGAUGCAACUCAGUGUCCACCCUCCCCAAACUUCUCAUCAGGGCCCCCAGCAACCUAUCACAGAGGUCCCAAUGCUACCAGCUCCUGCAGCGCCCCCCAGAAGUGACCCACGUCUGGCCUCAUCCCUAUUUCCACCAGACGCACACCUGCACUGAUCCUGA